GCUUCUCACUAUUUUUCUCUCAUUCGAAAUAUAUAUUCCUCCCUUCUCCCAUCCCCUAUUUAUAGGAGUGGAGAGCCACGAGAGAAAGAUUGCCACCAUUAUGUCAUACCAUUUCAUCUAAAAGUUACCACCUUUCAUCAUGUCACUUUACUUAAAAGGUUACUAUUUUUUUCUUGUCGCUUUAUCUAAAAGGUCUUUUCACAUGCCACUUCAUUUAAAAGGUUACCACUUUUCACAUGACAUUUCAUCUAAAAGUUACCACUUUUCAAAUGUCACUUCAUAUAAAAGUAGUAAUUUCAGUUAUGUCAUUUUAUUUAAAAGUUACCACUUUUCAUUAUACCACUUCAUUUAAGAGGUUCCACCUUUUUUCAUAACUCUUCGUGCUUAUUCUAGCUCCUUCAUCCUUAUCCAUCCUUUUUUUGUUUGACUCUAAACUAUGUUUUUAACCUUAUUAUAU
rnacentral:lncRNA from 1 species